CAGCCGCCGCGGUAACACGUAGGUGGCAAGCGUUGUCCGGAAUUAUUGGGCGUAAAGGGCUCGCAGGCGGUUUCUUAAGUCUGAUGUGAAAGCCCCCGGCUCAACCGGGGAGGGUCAUUGGAAACUGGGAAACUUGAGUGCAGAAGAGGAUAGUAGAAUUCCAGGUGUAGUGGUGAAAUACGUAGAUAUCUGGAGGAAUACCGGUGGCGAAGGCGGCUAUCUGGCUAUGUACUGACGCUGAGAUACGAAAGCGUGGGGAGCAAACAGGAUUAGAGACCCCUGUAGUCCCUGUCUCUUAUAC
rnacentral:rRNA from 1 species